rnacentral:rRNA from 1 species
GACGAACGCUGGCGGCGUGCUUAACACAUGCAAGUCGAACGGAAAGGCCCUGCUUUUGCGGGGUUCUCGAGUGGCGAACGGGUGUGAAACACGUGAGUAACCUGCCCUUGACUUUGGGAUAACUUCAGGAAACUGGGGCUAAUACCGGAUAGGAGCUCCUGCUGCAUGGUGGGGGUUGGAAAGUUUCGGCGGUUGGGGAUGGACUCGCGGGUUACCAGCUUGUUGGUGGGGUAGUGGCGUACAAAGGCUUUGACGGCUAGGCGGCCUGGGAGGGGGACCGGCGACCUGGGGACUGAGGGACGGCGCAGUCGCCAACGGGAGGCAGCAGGGGGGAGUAUUACGGAGUGAGCGGGCGUGUGAGGCGGCGGCGCCGCGUGCGGAAUGACGGGCUACGGGUGAUAAACCGCUUUCUCCUGUGACGAGGCGUUAGUGACGGUAAUGGGUAAAGAAGCACCGGCUAACUACGUG